rfam:Bosea sp. RAC05, complete genome.
UCCCGUUCCGAGGGGUGCCCGCAAGGGCUGAGACGGCUUCUCAAGCCGAACCCAUCGAACCUGAUCCGGGUCAUACCGGCGGAGGGACUGGAACGCGGCGCAUGC